rnacentral:siRNA from 1 species
GCAGUUAAGCGUGCUUGG